CCUGGCGGCCUUAGCGCGGUGGUCCCACCUGACNCCAUGCCGAACUCAGAAGUGAAACGCCGUAGCGCCGAUGGUAGUGUGGGGUCUCCCCAUGCGAGAGUAGGGAACUGCCAGGC
rnacentral:rRNA from 1 species